GCCAAUUUGAAUUUUCACAACCUUGCCAAGUAUUUAAAUAUCCACAUGAACGAACAAUAGAAGAAUUUAUUAGACGGUUAACAUCAACGGAACACUUUUUUCUCUAUUUAAAAGAAGUUACAAUUUUUAUAUUUUACUAAAAUUCAUUAAACCCAUAAUUCAAAAGAGUUCUUAUAAAUACUUUGUAAAGAAUGAUUUUGAAAUUAUUUUUUUGAUAAUAUAAAAAUUUGCGAAAAUAAUAAGAAAAAGAAGAAU
rnacentral:misc_RNA from 1 species